UACGGAGAGGGCUAGCGUUAUUCGGAAUUAUUGGGCGUAAAGGGCGCGUAGGCGGAUUAGUAAGUUAAAAGUGAAAUCCCAAGGCUCAACCUUGGAAUUGCUUUUAAAACUGCUAAUCUAGAGAUUGAAAGAGGAUAGAGGAAUUCCUAGUGUAGAGGUGAAAUUCGUAAAUAUUAGGAGGAACACCAGUGGCGAAGGCGUCUAUCUGGUUCAAAUCUGACGCUGAUGCGCGAAGGCGUGGGGAGCAAACA
rnacentral:rRNA from 1 species